rnacentral:sRNA from 2 species
CGUGCGCACACGCCGAAUCCCGCAAGGGAGCCGGGGAACCACCACCCUGGGGUGAAUCACGCGGAUGCCGCCGUGAACUCACGGAGUCCACGACCGGUAUACGCGCGUAGGAGACCUUCCUGCUCCGAACCCGUCAGCUAACCCGGUAGGCGAAAGGAAGGAAAGG